rnacentral:rRNA from 1 species
CCCAAGAGAUCGGGAUAACACCUGGAAACAGAUGCUAAUACCGGAUAACAACAGAUGAUGCCUAUCAACUGUUUAAAAGAUGGUUCUGCUAUCACUCUUGGAUGGACCUGCGGUGCAUUAGCUAGUUGGUAGGGUAACGGCCUACCAAGGCGAUGAUGCAUAGCCGAGUUGAGAGACUGAUCGGCCACAUUGGGACUGAGACACGGCCCAAACUCCUACGGGAGGCAGCAGCC